UCCCCGAUUGCUCCAAUUCAAAAACCACCAUUCUCCACCUUCCCUAGCUGUUACCACAUCCCUCUGCUCAUAGCUCCAUCUCUUUGAAAUAGAAAAGGUCUCAGGAACCAUCUGGUUCCGUGCCUCCUUAACGCUGAGGCCACUCGCCUGCAGCUGGAGGCAGCUCUCUGCUCAGCCUGCAGUGCAGAGUGACACAGGCAAGCGACAUCGUCACUGAGCACUAACUUCUGUGACUCGGAGGCAGACAGUGAAAACCAUUUCAGAACCGCAGCAAGGCGUGAGAGAGGCGAAGGGGUAGCUGCAAAGUUUUGGACAAGACCUCUGCAGGCAACUGGAAGCACAGUGUACCCAGGUGGAGCCCAACCUCAUCAGCAUCUUUCCUUCAGGCAAACUGACAAUACUGGAUCUAGUCAAUGACUACAGUGGAUUCAACUAUCGAUGAGGUACAAGUCUCGAAUACACAGUCACACAGUCAGACUAGGAAUAUGCAUCCAUCCCCAACCCAGUUUUCACAAAUUGCUAUUUAUAAAUCAAUAGUUUAAAUAAUUAAGGUAAAAUAAUUGUUCCAUUAAACAAUUAAGUGUAGGCAAGUAUCAGAAUGUAGGUAGAGAAUUCCAAAUAAUAG